UAAUAUAAGAGAUGUUAUACAGCGAUCAUCAAGUGACAUGCAUAUCCUAUAAUAAAUUUCUAUUAGCUGGUGAACCUUUUGAUAUAUACAUGUACCUGUUAAAGAUACGGAAAAUGAAGCAGCUGUCGAGACAGCUAUUGUGGUAAGUAGAUAUUUUGAUUUUUUUCAAAGUUUCAAUGUUGUGUGCGCGUUUAAGUCCGUUUUUGUUUGUUUUUUUUAGGGGGGAGGGGGAGGGGGGAUUAGCUAUAUCCCAUAUCCCAAAAGUGCAAUCCUUUCAAUUCAUUGCUCAAAAUGAAAGUCACGUAUACCACAUUUUCAUAUGUCAUAUAUAUGUUUUGCCUCCAAUAUCACGUUUAUAUUAAAAUUCUGCGCGAAAUGAACAAAAGUUUCCGUCAAUAACUUUAUAACUGCAUUAUCGGAUUUAACAGUUGAUACCUUUAUCGGUAGAUAUGAGUGUUCAUAUUUCCCUUUUCCUUAUAAUUCAAUAAAUAUAGCCGUCCAUUUUUUCCCCUUUGAUUCCCUUUUUUCUAUUUUAUACUGAUAUAAUAUAUGAUUUUAAAAAUUUACUUCAAAUGUUUUGAUCAAAUACCCAUGUAUUUUAGGACGUUUCUUUAAACAGUGUGUAUGGUAAAGGAUCUAAAAUAGUUACAGUUUAUUGUUACUAUUGUUUAUUGUUACUUUUGUUUAUUGUUACUUUUGUUUAUAGUUACUUUUGUUUUUUGUUUUUUUUAGCCUUACCUAUAGUCUUAAUACGAAGCACUUGACGGACUGAAAAAAACACACACAAAUAUGUAUAUUGAUAAAUUACAUCAGAAGGCAUAACAUGUACAUCAUCACAGUC
rnacentral:lncRNA from 1 species